AAUAUUCUGUGUGCAGUAUUCAAUAUAAGAGUAAUUAGUAAUGUGUGUGGGGAGACAGUGGCACCGUAUAAAAGGAUUACUAUGUGACUCUGCAAGGUGCAUAUUAUUUCCUUUUUUCAAAAUUAAAAUUUCAAAAUGUUAUUUUUGAAAUUUAUCAUCGGCCAUUUACUUCGCAGUAUCGGAUACAAUGUUGCUUUUACCUUUAAACGUCAAGAUAAACAAUACAAAAUGUAUGGGACAAAUAUUUUGUUGCCGCUUUAUAAUGCAUCCCAAAACACAUAAAAAUCGAGCCUAUAAAUUGCACAUCUGCGCAUUUGUUCGCGAAUGCCAUCCCCGAAACAAGGUUACUACGUGACGAAUUGCCAUCGAAGCCAAGCAACUCGCUUGAGUCGUACUAAAAAGCAGGCGACAUAAAAAUACGUGCAGCGCAGAGAGAAUGUUACGUGCGUUGGAAGUACGGGAUUAAAGAUAAUUUUUUCCAUUUUUAAUAUUUCCGUGGGAUAUAUAAGGAUUCUCCCGGUUAUCGCGUGGUUUCACACGUGUGGAGAUCGUUUAUUGCUAUCGGAUCAAUCCUUCUUUCUGAUAAAAAUUUAUAACCGUUUCCAAAGACUCGCAGGAGUCCCUUGAAGACGUUUGUUGUGUGCAUUUUGGUAAUGCAAUGUAGAAAAAAGGAGAACGUAAUAUACGUGAGAUUAUGUCGAUCGGUCCUGAUCGGUACUGAUUGACGUCGCGGAUAUUGCUAAGCCUGGUUUAAUACGAUUAUUAAACGAGUAUGCUUCAUGCUGGAAACCAGCGGUGACAACGCAUGGGAAAUCGAAUUUACGCGGCGAAAAGGGAGAGGACACACGAAGAGGACAAGCACGUAUUUCAUAAUUUAUUUUGUUCGUCGCGAGAAUUUGUCGUGUAAUGUUGACGUCGUGAAUACGCAACGUUAAAAAUAUCCUGUCAUCGAUUGUUUCAUAAAUAUUUUAUCACAACUCCAUUUUCAUAUACUUAAUCACGUUGCUGAACAGCGAAUGUCUCUGCGAUUCAAUUUCUAAUAAAAUAAGCAAAAUUAUUAUUUUUGCAUCUAAUUGUUUCGCUUAUCUGGCACAAUAUUAUUGACCAUUUUUUAGCUAUGCAAAAAUUUUUAGCGCAUUUAUCAGAGUAAUGCUUCAUUUACACCAAAGAACAAGUUUCGCGCGCUUUAAGUUAGUUUGCCAAAGAUAUUCCUGUUACCUCUGACAGGUUCACAAAUUCAGUGUAAUCUAAUCUUCGUGCACGGUCUCAUAUUCAUCAGUAGGUAUUGCGAAUAUUGCGGAAGUAGCGAAGGUACGUAUGGUCAAUGGAGACUAGAGAGAAGUUUAACAUCAUGUGAAAGGAUAACUUGGGGAAGACAAUCUAACUAUCUCGCGCACGUACGGUGACGUAACUGAAGUAGGUAACUCGCGCUUCCAACACGUACUGAAGUCUGCUUGAGAAAUACUUUUCCAUCUCGAAUAUUUGCUUUCGUGUAUCGCGCAAGAAAAUAUUCAUGCGACUCGCAGUUAUGUCGAUAUUAAUACUGGCGAAUUAAAGAUAAUAUAAUCGUUUGGUCAAAUAUAAACCAACAUGAAUUUUGAAGAGUGUUUGGUGAAAUAUCCACCGACGUGACUUUUUAAGAAAAUUGUCAUGAGUCAGACAUGUUAUAUAAUAUACUUCAGCGUAAGUGGCUCGAUUUUCUUGGAUUUAGUAAAAAUAUUGACCGUUGAAAAAAAUCAUCAUUAGAGAAAGUAAUAGUUACUCCUUUGAAGUGAGUAUAAUAUUUUUUCAAAAUCUACUGUCAAAAAAUUCAUAUUAUACAUACAUUACUAUUACUGUAGAUAAACAAAAGAAAACGCAAGAAACACGUUAUUAAAAACACGGCAUUACAAUUUAACGAAAACUAAUUUCAGUUCUUUUGAAUAUACUUUUUUCUUUGUUUUUAUAUAUCUCUUCGAGAAUUAAACGGCAUUCCCUAAUGAUCAAAGUUCCUCUAUGAAUAUAUAAAAUAAAACGAUGUCUAUCAUUAAAAUAUCUCACUUUGAGUAACAUUAGAUAUUACAACGAUGCGUCAUUAAUUUCUAGAUCUCUUUUAAAUAAUCUCGCAUCGUUAGCAAUCUUCAUAUGGUGAUUUUUUUCAUCGAAAAUCAAUGCGAUUUACAUCUGAACAUGCACUACGUAAUAUGACGUUUUGUGAGCGUUUAAAUUGAGCACUCACCAAUUCAGCAUCGCCCAAAACGCCGGCCAGAACCACCGAUGAAACUCACGGCUCAGCAUCCAGUCUCUUAGAUCUGUCACUCAAUCACUGCACUCGCGAUCGUUUCAACAGCGUUUGACGGUCUAACAAAAUAUACGCGAUAAACUCGAGUACUUGGAAAAUACGCGCGAGUCUCUGAUCGCGUAUAAACUAUAGAAAAUCGAAGAUCACGGCGUUCGUGACAAGAUCGAGAAAAAAAGAAAGUGGUACGUUUCACAGGACGGUAAAACUUCGUCAACAAACGGGAAUCUCGUUUUCUCAAGUGUUCCAAUUUUAGAAACAAACGAUAAAUAUGUAUAUAAAAUUUCAUAAUAAUUCUAUCGAAUUCUUAUUCGUGACGGAUUAUGUCACAUCAGUAUACGCUCGCGGCGUGUGCAAAAUCGAUCGACGAGAAGCAUGAGGUUAAAAUUCGUAGGCGAAGUCGACGCGACGCGAAUUAAAAACGCGAUCGCGAGAUCUGUCAGGGCAAAGAAUCGCAGGUGGCGUGAGAUUCUUAUGCAUCAUGGCUUCGCAACACUUGUGCGAAGCCAUGCUCUGCGACAUUGCGCAAAGACUUCUCCGCAAUAUCUCUGCGAAGUACGCUCUUCCAGAAUAUCUCCGGAAUAUCUUCGCGAAUUCAAUAAAAUUCACAUUUUUCUAAAGAGAUAAUCGCGUGCGCGAACGCAAACGUAAAUAUAAAAACACGAAAAUUAGAAAUCCUGUACGCGAUCGUACGCGAUUGUAAAUAUUGAAAGUUUCUGUCUCUACAAUAAACGAAAUCAUGACGCGUAAUUAGACGAAAAAAACUUCGGUUUUACUCUGUCCGACUUGUGUUGUUUUCAAUAAAAAUACUGAUACUCGACCAUACCAUAUCUCGUACGCGCGAGAGGAACUAUAAAAAAAUAAAAUAAACUGAAAACAAAAUCUCGAUGAUCACGAAAUCGGUGCGUCCAAUUUAUAUUGCGAAAAAAAUUGCUAGAUAUAUAAAAUCGGAUUGUUUUGCUUCAAUAAAACUUAUCUUCGCGAUGUUGAAUUUAACAAGCUUCGUUGCUGUUCACGGAACGUAAUUGCGACAUAUAUACACGUAUGAAAAAUUUAGAAAAUCAAUCGCCACGUCAAUCACGAAAUCCGUUAAUGCGAAUAAAGCAUUCGCGAAUAUUAAUGCAAUUUGAUUUUAAUAAAAUUGUAUAUUGCUUAGAACAAUUAGAAAAUCACAUUCAAUAUGAAUAGUUAUAUUGAAUAAUUCUAUGGUGUUAAAUAAUUAUAAGGAGAGUGAAAAAAAUAUGUUCAAAUAAUAUAGAUAUUGAAGAACGUGAUUCAUUCAUUGUUUCAAGUAAUAUUUUUUAUACAAUGACACACACAAGAAAGCCAAAUAUCUAAGGUAAAUCGCAUUGAGAAAUUUUAACGAAUUUUAAAAUUGUCUACAACUAUAAAUCUUUUUAAACACACAGCUUCUUCACUUACCGAAGUGUCGUCAACUCAGAAUCGGCCACGCUCUACUUCUGAAUCUGAAACAAAAACAUAUAAUGGUGCUGAUUAUCUUUAAUGAUUUAACUUAACGGGUGAGUUCAGGUAUUCAACGAUGGAAAAUUAUAUAUAUAUAUAUAUAUAUAUAUAUAUAUAUAUAUAUAUAUAUACAUCUCAAGGUUGCGUUCCAAAACGUCCUCAUUGAGGAAAAUUUUACUGAAAAUCCAUAAUGUAUAUAACAUGUACUACAGAUUUACAGUAAGAUUUUCCUCAAAGAAAACGUUUUGGAAUGCAACCCAAAUUUAUAACGCAAAAGGUUAAAGGAGUUAAGUUAAGAGUUAAGGUUAAAAGGUUAUCUGUACACACUUACGAGCCGACCCUGCUCGGCCCGAACCGAAUCCUUCGGUACUGCAUUCGCAACCACCGGAAUUAUAUAGCUGCCUUCGUCACGGCUGCAAGGUCUUCCAGUUUUGAAAAAGACAAUUUUUCUAAUUAGUUAUAGUAAUAAAGAAGUUGCGCGAUUUUAACGAUUCGAUAAUAAGAAUUCUGUACAGAAGAUUAAAGACAUGAGGUUUAAUUAUAUUAAGUAGAAGAAUUUAUAUUAGACAUGUUAUUAUCGACUGAAUAAAUCUUUUUUGGUUUUUUUAGAUAUUUUUUCCCUCAAUGUACUCAAGAGAACACCGUUAUCGUAUUUUAUAUUAUCGUAUAUCGUAUAUUAUACCAAUAUUUCAUAUUACAUUCCUUAAUAUUUGAUUGCUUAGUAUACGUCUAUAGUCUAUAGUUGUUUAUCGCAUUGUUACUAAUCUUAAUAUCUAAAAAUCUUAAUACCGUUUAUGAGAUAUUAAGGUUACGAAAUGUUAAGUAGAAAAAACCAUGAGUUAAAAUACCUUUGAGGCAAUUCUACUCGAAUCGCGAACCCUCCGAUAUUGCGUCUGUAUACACCGGAACGCAGCAGCUUUUCCAAUACAGCCGCAAGUUCUGACAGGUCUGAAAUAGAAAAUAAAUCUCCUAAUUAGUCACAACAGAGAAAUUGCUCAGUACUGGCGAUCCAAUUAAGAAUUCAGCGCUAAGAUAUCAGUAAUACGUGACUCAAUUGUAGGUUAUGUUAUACAGGUUAUAUUUCUUUUAUAUCUAAUA